AUGAUCGUAUUGGGAGAGAUUACCUUACUAGUAACGCUAGGUAACGCCGAAGGAGUAAGCUUGAAUCAAGUGAAUCUCUCAGGCAAAAGGACCAUUACGGGACG
rnacentral:ncRNA from 1 species